UGAAGCAAAUUGAUCGAUGAACGAGAAGGAAACAAAAAUACUCAUAAAAACAUUGUAUAUCGAUCGAGUGGCACAUUAUAAGUUUAAGGUCGUUUAAAAUUCUAAAGUCGAACUAAGUUGUACACACGUGAAGUGAUCGUUAGCAGAGGCAACGACGAGUAAUAUAGUAUAUUACAUUAUACGAAAUUGGAUACUUUAUUAUACUUUCUUUAACAGUGAAAGAUACAUUUCUAAUAUAUAUUAUAUCUAUAAUAAUUUA